rnacentral:rRNA from 1 species
GAUGAACGCUGGCGGUAUGCUUAACACAUGCAAGUCGAACGGACUCUUCGGAGUUAGUGGCGGACGGGUGAGUAACGCGUGAGAAUCUGGCUUUGGGUUCGGGACAACCACUGGAAACGGUGGCUAAUACCGGAUGUGCCGAGAGGUAAAAGAGAAAUUGCCUGAAGAUGAGCUCGCGUCUGAUUAGCUAGUUGGUGAGGUAAAGGCUCACCAAGGCAGCGAUCAGUAGCUGGUCUGAGAGGAUGACCAGCCACACUGGGAAUGAGACCCGGCCCAGACUCCUACGGGAGGCAGCAGUGGGGAAGUUUCCGCAAUGGGCGAAAGCCUGACGGAGCAAUACCGCGUGAGGGAAGAAGGCUCUUGGGUUGUAAACCUCUUUUCUUAGGGAAGAACAAAAUGACGGUACCUAAGGAAUCAGCAUCGGCUAACUCCGUG